GGGUGUGGCAGAGAACAAUAGAUAACUAACUCCGGCCUCACUCAGCGCUGCUAAAGUCCCUGCCCUGCCUUAGUGCCCAGGCGAUGGCUGGAGACACACAUUACACCCACCACCCACCCCUAGUAACAAUACACGCUCCAUGCGCGUGUUAGGCACAGAGCUAGAUAUGGAAACAGUCCAGCAUAGUCUAGAGCAAAUCCCAAAGGCUAGAGGAAGAAGAAGAAAAGCCGAGGAAUACACAGUUAAAGGUGAAAGGCUCACGAUAUUCUGCAGCACUAAGGGACACCUCAGGAUUAAUCACGGUAUUUGCACUUUGAACAUGCAAAACACUGUUGAUGGAAACCCAAACACAAUAGCAUUGUGCUGGGGAAUGAGAAGGAGAGAGUGAAACUGACUAUACACAGAAUAUGAAAUUGACCAGGCUGGUUCCCCUGUCCAAGCAGAUUGAAAUACAAAAGGAAGUCUCUCUCAUUUCAGUCUCCAUACUUCUGGCCAGGAGGACUCAGGUAAUGAAAAUGAACAUGCGUUAGUCCAUACUGCUUUGGAUUGUUAUCGAGCAGAACCCGUCAUCAGUA